UAACAUCCGGAAACGGGUGCUAAUACCGCAUAGUUUUCUUGAUCGCAUGAUCGGGAAAGGAAAGACGGCCUUUGUGCUGUCGCUUAUGGAUGGACCCGCGGCGUAUUAGUUAGUUGGUGAGGUAACGGCUCACCAAGACGAUGAUACGUAGCCGACCUGAGAGGGUGAUCGGCCACAUUGGGACUGAGACACGGCCCAAACUCCUACGGGAGGCAGCAGUAGGGAAUCUUCCGCAAUGGACGAAAGUCUGACGGAGCAACGCCGCGUGAGUGAAAAGAAGGUUUUCGGAUCGUAAAACUCUGUUGUCAGAGAAGAACAAGUUGGAGAGUAACUGCUCCAGCCUUGACGGUAUCUGACCAGAAAGCCACGGCUAACUACGUGCCAGCCGCCGC
rnacentral:rRNA from 1 species